rnacentral:rRNA from 1 species
AUUGAACGCUGGCGGCAUGCUUUACACAUGCAAGUCGAACGGCAGCGCGGGCUUCGGCCUGGCGGCGAGUGGCGAACGGGUGAGUAAUGCAUCGGAACGUGCCCAGUAGUGGGGGAUAGCCCGGCGAAAGCCGGAUUAAUACCGCAUACGUCCUGAGGGUGAAAGCGGGGGACCGAAAGGCCUCGCGCUAUUGGAGCGGCCGAUGUCGGAUUAGCUAGUUGGUGGGGUAAAGGCUUACCAAGGCGACGAUCCGUAGCUGGUCUGAGAGGACGACCAGCCACACUGGGACUGAGACACGGCCCAGACUCCUACGGGAGGCAGCAGUGGGGAAUUUUGGACAAUGGGGGCAACCCUGAUCCAGCCAUGCCGCGUGCGGGAAGAAGGCCUUCGGGUUGUAAACCGCUUUUGUUCGGGAAGAAAUCCUCUGGGCUAAUACCCCGGGGGGAUGACGGUACCGGAAGAAUAAGCACCGGCUAACUACGUG